GGUGCUUGCACCUGAUUGAUUUUGGUCGCCAACGAGUGGCGGACGGGUGAGUAACACGUAGGUAACCUGCCCAGAAGCGGGGGACAACAUUUGGAAACAGAUGCUAAUACCGCAUAACAACGUUGUUCGCAUGAACAACGCUUAAAAGAUGGCUUCUCGCUAUCACUUCUGGAUGGACCUGCGGUGCAUUAGCUUGUUGGUGGGGUAAUGGCCUACCAAGGCGAUGAUGCAUAGCCGAGUUGAGAGACUGAUCGGCCACAAUGGGACUGAGACACGGCCCAUACUCCUACGGGAGGCAGCAGUAGGGAAUCUUCCACAAUGGGCGCAAGCCUGAUGGAGCAACACCGCGUGAGUGAAGAAGGGUUUCGGCUCGUAAAGCUCUGUUGUUAAAGAAGAACACGUAUGAGAGUAACUGUUCAUACGUUGACGGUAUUUAACCAGAAAGUCACGGCUAACUACGUGCCAGCAGCCGCGGUAAUACGUAGGUGGCAAGCGUUAUCCGGAUUUAUUGGGCGUAAAGAGAGUGCAGGCGGUUUUCUAAGUCUGAUGUGAAAGCCUUCGGCUUAACCGGAGAAGUGCAUCGGAAACUGGAUAACUUGAGUGCAGAAGAGGGUAGUGGAACUCCAUGUGUAGCGGUGGAAUGCGUAGAUAUAUGGAAGAACACCAGUGGCGAAGGCGGCUACCUGGUCUGCAACUGACGCUGAGACUCGAAAGCAUGGGUAGCGAACAGGAUUAGAUACCCUGGUAGUCCAUGCCGUAAACGAUGAGUGCUAGGUGUUGGAGGGUUUCCGCCCUUCAGUGCCGGAGCUAACGCAUUAAGCACUCCGCCUGGGGGAGUACGACCGCAAGGUUGAAACUCAAAGGAAUUGACGGGGGGCCCGCACAAAGCGUGGAAGCAUGUGGUUUAAUUCCAA
rnacentral:rRNA from 2 species